rnacentral:rRNA from 1 species
AGAGUUUGAUCCUGGCUCAGGAUGAACGCUGGCGGCAUGCCUAAUACAUGCAAGUCGAACGAGAGGAAGGAAAGCUUGCUUUUCUGAAUCUAGUGGCGAACGGGUGAGUAACACGUAGGUAACCUGCCCAUGUGCCCGGGAUAACUUCUGGAAACGGAUGCUAAAACCGGAUAGGUAGCAGACAAGCAUUUGACUGCUAUUAAAGUGGCUAAGGCCAUGAACAUGGAUGGACCUGCGGUGCAUUAGCUGGUUGGUGAGGUAACGGCCCACAAGGCGACGAUGCAUAGCCGGCUGAGAGGGCGACGCACAUUGGGACUGAGACACGGCCCAAACUCCGUACGGGAGCA